rnacentral:snoRNA from 1 species
CCGACGUGGACACCCAGCGAGUUGCUCUCCUGGCUCUGUCCUGGUGGCGCAUGGGAGCGUAGCUCUGAGCAGAGACCUACACCUUCCCAGAGUCCUUUGGGGCCAUUACUGGGGAGCUAAACCAUGCAGUGCACAAAC